rnacentral:rRNA from 1 species
AUUGAACGCUGGCGGCAUGCUUUACACAUGCAAGUCGAACGGUAACAGGGUGCUUGCACCGCUGACGAGUGGCGAACGGGUGAGUAAUGCGUCGGAACGUGCCGAGUAGUGGGGGAUAACGCAGCGAAAGUUGUGCUAAUACCGCAUACGUACUGAGGUAGAAAGUGGGGGACCUUCGGGCCUCACGCUAUUCGAGCGGCCGACGUCUGAUUAGCUAGUAGGUGAGGUAAAGGCUCACCUAGGCGACGAUCAGUAGCGGGUCUGAGAGGAUGAGCCGCCACACUGGGACUGAGACACGGCCCAGACUCCUACGGGAGGCAGCAGUGGGGAAUUUUGGACAAUGGGCGAAAGCCUGAUCCAGCCAUGCCGCGUGUCUGAAGAAGGCCUUCGGGUUGUAAAGGACUUUUGUCGGGGAGGAAAUCCCCAGCGCUAAUACCGCUGGGGGAUGACAGUACCUGAAGAAUAAGUACCGGCUAACUACGUGCCAGCAGCCGCAGUAAUAC